CCCCUCCCCCCCCAAGCACCUACAUGGCGAAUAGUGGGACAGCUUAACUUAAAUGUUAUUUUCAAACAUAGUGAUAUUUUUUUCACAAGUCAUUAAGCUUUUCAAUAUGGUUGUCAUAAAGUAGUAAAAAUAAAGAUGUGUAAUGAGUAUGUUAGAUGACAGAAUGAAAUCAGUCACAACAAAUUUGUGAUUAAUUUUAACUAUUUAUAUUCAUGAAUUUGUUUCACUCUUUAUUGGCCUAAGUUUGAAUUUUAUUUCUGGUUCCUGCCUUCAAUAUGUUUUGUGUGCAUAACAAUAGAAGAAAACACUGGGCUAAGGAAGCAUUGUAGUGUCGAAGUAUUCAUGUUCAGUUAGCUGAACACAUGCUGCCAUCUUAAUUGAUGUAACAUCUGGCAUCAAGAUUCAGUAUUGUGUUUGUUUCUUUGUUUGCUUGUGGAUUCUGUAUAAUGUGAUUUAUAAUUUCUGAGGGCUGUGGAGGUAAGCAAUAAUAGAUUAUAUUUGUUUAAAUCAAACUGGUUAUUACCCAUAGUUAAAAUACUGGAAGAAACAUAAAAAAAUAAUUAUAGUAUAUUUUAUAGAUAGCAGGUAUAUCUGGUGUCUGGUCUUAUAUUUUUUUCAGUAACAAUUCAAGGUGGAAGAAAGAGAGGGAAGCAGAUAAAAGAAUUGGAGGUAUUUUCACCUCAUAAUGAAGAUGAUGAAGUAUAAUGUUGGUAUCCAAGUCAAAGACCAAACCCUGUUAUUGAUAUGCAAGAUUAAUCUUUCUCAAAAUCACAUACUCUGGUUUACAGCUGAUAUCAGUUAUGGGUAUUUUAUGAGUGUGGGACAUAGAUAUAAACAAGCUGUAAUCUGGACAUUUCAACUACAUCCUCGACGCUACCCUAUGUGGUAGACAGAUUUUAAUUACACACCCACAAUAGUGAAAAUAUGAGAAAAUGUUUAUAUAUUCAAGUAAAUUGUAUUUGCUAAUACUAACAAAAUUCAACAUUUCUCUUAAUACAAUGUUAUGGUGCCCAAAAUGGUUAUUUGGUCUGAGGUUUCCUAGAAGUGAAUGGUAAUGAUAGGUAUUCAUGACACAUUUUUCUCUUCUGAUGAUGUGACUGUCCCCUCCCCCAAAAGUCCUGGUUUCAAAAUGUGUGGAACUCCCCCAUAUGUCUGCAUAGUAGGGUACUAAUAUGUUGUCUCACCCAAAAAUGAUCCUGAUAUAAGCAGAAGGGUGGAAAACUCAGCCACACCACAUGAUUGAUAGGAACUCAAAUGUGCUACACAUUUUUAAGUUUUUGCAACACUACCUUGUAUUCUUGUCAACUGAUAAUAUGUGUUUUGUCCAGGAUGUUUAAAAUUAAUUCAUGGGAGAAUUGAUAAAUUCUUGAAAAACAUUGAAAAUUUAAUGAAAUGAUCUGUAAAAUCCCCAGGUCAAUAUAUGAAAGAGAAUUGAUCAUUAAAUAAUGGUAGUAUUUCUUGUACAUGUACAGCAGGUUGACAUAAGCAUACAAGUCUCCUUCCAUUUGUGUGGUGGGCCUUUCCUCUUUGUUUAUAUCCGGAUCAUUCUUGAGUAAAGAGAGAAUAGUUAUAACAGGGACAUCUUUGCCUUUAUUGUUACCCUAACCUUAAACAUAUGCUUAAAAACUAAUAAGCCACACAACCUAUAUAUUAUACACACAAUGAUAUUUUAUGGGUCAACUUUAAGAGUUGAGGUUAAUUAAAAGUUUUUUGUAAUUUGAAACAGUAUUAAGAUGUGUUUAUUUCCAUCAAUCUACUCCAGAACUUAUUUCCUUCUAAUGCUUUGUUCCAUAUACAGUUUUUAAGAUGCUCACCAAUAAUUACAUAUUAUUUAAAAACACUUUCACCAUUCCAACUUUAAAACUCAAUUACUAAAUUAGUUCUGACUAAGAGAGCUGGAAAAUACGAUUCUUUAAUAUGACAAAAAAGUAAACACUUUGAUUUGGAUACCAGGCACAUAAACACUAGAACAGCAAUGGAAGUCAUUUGAGAGAAAAUAUAUUUUUAUUUUAACAAAUUUCUGUGUGUCAUGAAAUUAUAGAGAAAUUCACCUCAGUCUACUUUAUUGAAAAUUAUAAGGAACUGAAUUACAACUGUUAAUAUCAAAGUUAAAUUCAAAAUAAUUGUUUUACUCUUAUCAGUUUUAUACUUUUUAAAUGAACUGUAAACUAAUACAGCGAAUUUUACAAUGUAUAGGCACUCUGUACUCUUCAUGUAAUAAACUGGUAUUUGGUCACUUAA